rnacentral:rRNA from 1 species
GACGAACGAGGGAGGAGGGAGGAACACAUGCAAGUCGAACGGAAAGGCCCUGCUUUUGUGGGGUGCUCGAGUGGCGAACGGGUGAGUAACACGUGAGUAACCUGCCCUUGACUUUGGGAUAACUUCAGGAAACUGGGGCUAAUACCGGAUAGGAGCUCCUGCUGCAUGGUGGGGGUUGGAAAGUUUCGGCGGUUGGGGAUGGACUCGCGGCUUAUCAGCUUGUUGGUGGGGUAGUGGCUUACCAAGGCUUGGACGGUACGCCGGCCUGAGAGGGUGACCGGCCACAUUGGGACUGAGAUACGGCCCAGACUCCUACGGGAGGCAGCAGUGGGGAAUAUUGCACAAUGGGCGGAAGCCUGAUGCAGCAACGCCGCGUGCGGGAUGACGGCUUUCGGGUUGUAAACCGCUUUCGCCUGUGACGAAGCGUGAGUGACGGUAAUGGGUAAAGAAGCACCGGCUUACUACGUC